UGCGUAGGUGGCGUGGUAAGUCAGAUGUGAAAGCCCGGGGCUCAACCUCGGAAUUGCAUCCGAUACUGCCGUGCUAGAGUACUGAAGAGGUGACUAGAAUUCUCGGUGUAGCAGUGAAAUGCGUAGAUAUCGAGAGGAAUACCAACGGCGAAGGCAGGUCACUGGGCAGUUACUGACACUGAGGCACGAAGGCCAGGGGAGCAAAC
rnacentral:rRNA from 1 species